UAUUGCGCAAUGGGGGCAACCCUGACGCAGCCAUGCCGCGUGAAUGAAGAAGGCCUUCGGGUUGUAAAGUUCUUUCGGUGAUGAGGAAGGAGGAUGUUUAAAUAGGGCAUUCAAUUGACGUUAAUCACAGAAGAAGCACCGGCUAACUCCGUGCCAGCAGCCGCGGUAAUACGGAGGGUGCGAGCGUUAAUCGGAAUAACUGGGCGUAAAGGGCACGCAGGCGGAUAAUUAAGUGAGAUGUGAAAUCCCCGAGCUUAACUUGGGAAUUGCAUUUCAUACUGGUUAUCUAGAGUCUUGUAGAGAGGGGUAGAAUUCCACGUGUAGCGGUGAAAUGCGUAGAGAUGUGGAGGAAUACCGGAGGCGAAGGCGGCCCCUUGGACAAAGACUGACGCUCAUUGCGAAG
rnacentral:rRNA from 1 species